AGUGAACGCUGGCGGCGUGCCUAAUACAUGCAAGUCGAACGGAAUUUAAAAGAGCUUGCUCUUUUAAAUUUAGUGGCGCACGGGUGAGUAAUAUAUAGCUAAUCUGCCCCUUGCUGGAGGACAACAGUUAGAAAUGACUGCUAAUACUCCAUACUCCUUUUUACCAUAAGAUAAAUCGGGAAAGAAUUUCGGCAAGGGAUGAGACUAUAUCGUAUCAGCUAGUCGGUGGGGUAACGGCCUACCGAGGCUAUGACGCGUAACUGGUCUGAGAGGAUGAUCAGUCACAUUGGAACUGAGACACGGUCCAAACUCCUACGGGAGGCAGCAGUAGGGAAUAUUGCGCAAUGGGGGAAACCCUGACGCAGCAACGCCGCGUGGAGGAUGACACUUUUCGGAGCGUAAACUCCUUUUGUUAGGGAAGAAUAAGACGGU
rnacentral:rRNA from 1 species